GGAUUAGAUACCCUGGUAGUCCUUGCCGUAAACGAUGCAUACUUGGUGUAGUUGGUCUCAACCCCGACUGUGCCGUAGCUAACGCGUUAAGUAUGCCACCUGGGGAGUACGCUCGCAAGGGUGAAACUCAAAAGAAUUGACGGGGGCCCGCACAAGCAGUGGAGCAUGUGGUUUAAUUCGAUGCAACGCGAAGAACCUUACCCAGGCUUGACAUUUUGAGGACCGCAUUAGAGAUAAUGUUUCCCGUAAGGGCCUCUUGACAGGUGCUGCAUGGCUGUCGUCAGCUCGUGCC
rnacentral:rRNA from 1 species